GUGUUGCCAACAUCAGACAUUUCCCAGCUCCGGUGUCGCCAACGUCAGACGAUUCCCAGCUCCAAUGUUAUCUGAGGUCGGAUGAUUCCCAGCUCCAAUGUUAUCUGAGGUCGGAUGAUUCCUGGCUCCGACAUCCCCAACGUUGGAUGUUUCCCAGCUCUGGUGUUGCUCCAGGUCGGACAUUUCCCAGCUCCGGUGUCACCAACGUCAGACGAUUCCCAGCUCCAAUGUUAUCUGAGAUCGGAUGAUUCCCAGCUCCGAUGUCCCCAAAGUAGGACAAUUCCCAGCUCUGAUGUUAUCUGAGGUCAGAUGAUUCUUGGCUCCGACGUCCCCAACGUUGGAUGUUUCCCGGCUCCGGUGUUGCUCCAGGUUGGACGUUUCCCAGCUCCGGUGCCGCCAACGUCGGACAAUUCCCAGCUCUGAUAUUAUCUGAGGUCGGAUGAUUCUUGGCUCCAACGUCCUCAACGUUGGGUGUUUCCCGGCUCCAGUGUUGCUCCAGGUUGGAUGUUUCCCGGCUCCGGUGUCGCCAACAUUGGACAUUUCCCAGCUCCGGUGUCGCCAACGUCAGACAAUUCCCAGCUCUAAUGUUAGCUGAGAUCAGAUGAUUCCCAGCUCCGACGUCCCCAACGUUGGCGUUUCCCAGCUCCGGUGUUGCUCCAGGUUGGACGUUUCCCAGCUCCGGUGCCGCCAACGUCAGACGAUUCCCAGCUCCAAUGUUAGCUGAGAUCAGAUGAUUCCCAGCUCCGACGUCCCCAACGUUGGACGUUUCCCAGCUCCGGUGUUGCUCCAGGUUGGAUGUUUCCCAGCUCCGGUGUCGCCAACGUCAGACGAUUCCCAGCUCCAAUGUUAUCUGAGGUCAGAUGAUUCCCAGCUCCGAUGUCCCCAAAGUUGGACGAUUCCCGGCUCUUGGUGUCCCCCCAGGUUGGAUGUUUCCCAGCUCCGAUGUCCCCAACAUCGGAGGUUUCCCAGCUCCAAUGUCACCCCAGGUCCGAUGUCUGCUGGCUCCAGUGUCCCCAACAUCAGACGCUUCCCGGCUCCGAUGUCCCCAACAUCAGACGUUUCCCGGCUCCGGGGGACCCUCAAGGUCAGACGUUCCCCGAUUUCAGCGUCCCCCCAGGUCGGACGUUGCCCAGCUCCGAUGUUCCUCGUGUCGGAUGUUUCCUGACUCCAAUGGCCCCAACGUCGGACACUUCCCAUCUCCGAUGUCCCCAACGUUGGGCUUUUCCUGGCUCCGACGUCCCUCCGGGUCAAGCCGUUGGCUGGCGCUGCCGGUUUCGGUGUUCGUUGACUCUGGUGGACCUCCAGGUCGGACAUCCGUUGGCUCCGGCAUCCGCUUGGGUGUCGGCCGGCUCCGGCGUCCCCCAACUCGGACAUUUCCCGGCUCCGACGUCUCCCACGUUGGACGCUCGCCGGCGCCGCCGGUUUUGGUGUCGGCCGGAUUCAAUAUCGGCCGGUUUUGGUGUCCACCAGCUCCGACACCUGCGGGUCGGACACUGCCUGUCCCCGUCACCCCGUUUUCCGUCCCCGUCGCCCCGUUUUCCGUCUCCGCCGCCCGCCGGCUUCAACGUCCCCCCAGGUGAGACGUUUCCCAGUGCCAAAACCCGCCGGUUUUGGUGUUUGCCAGCUCCAACAUCUGCCGGUUUUGGUGUCCACCAGCUCCGGCACCCGCAGGUGGGACAUUUCCCGGCUCCGUCACCCGUUGGCUUCAACGUCCUCCAGCUCGGAUGUUUUCCAGUGCCAAAAAACACUGGUUUUGGUGUCCACCAGCUCCAACAUCUCCUGAUUUUGGUGUCUGCCACCUCCAACAUCUGCCAGUUUUGGUGUCCGCCAGCUCCAACAUCUGUUUUUGGUGUCCGCCAGCUCCAACAUCUGCCAGUUUUGGUGUCCACCAGCUCCAACAUCUCCUGGUUUUGGUGUCCACCAGCUCCAACAUCUGGUUUUGGUGUCCGCCAGCUCCAACAUCUCCUGAUUUUGGUGUCCGCCAGCUCCA
ensembl:lncRNA